GCUGGGCGUGGUGGCUCACACCUGUGGUCCCAGCUACUGGGAGGCUGAGGUGGGAAAAUCGCUUGAGCCCAGGAGGUUGAGGCUGCAGUGAGCUGUGAUCAUGUCACUGCACUCCCGUCUGGGUGACAGAGUGAGACCCUGCCUCCA
rfam:Gorilla gorilla gorilla genomic chromosome, chr4, whole genome shotgun sequence